GGAGGAGUGGCCGAGUGGUUGAAGGCACAGCUCUCGAAAAGCUGCAGGGUGAAUAGCCCUCGUGAGUUCAAAUCUCACCUCCUCCG
rfam:Parcubacteria (Magasanikbacteria) bacterium GW2011_GWA2_37_8 TS58_C0028, whole genome shotgun sequence.